rnacentral:lncRNA from 1 species
AAGAAUCUUUCUGAGAAGCUAGUGGUCCCUGGUUGCCGUGCUCAUUGUCACCUAAGAGCAGCAUUGAAACUCUUCUCUUGGAAACUCAGAACUUCUGGAAGCAUCAUGUCUUCUUACUGACUUUCUGCCUUUGCUGUUUCCCACCCUACUCCCGUGUUUUAGUGGCUCUCACAUUGAAAACUGGCACUCUAUCCUGAGGAAUGGUCUGGUCGUUGCCUCUAACACACGUCUGCAGCUCCACGGUGCGAUGUACGGAAGUGGGAUCUAUCUUAGCCCAAUGUCGAGCAUAUCGUUUGGUUACUCAGGUAAUCCAGCACUGCUACUUGAUGAGCUGGGGGAUGUCGGAGGUGAACUGAAAGCAUACGUUGUAGGCAGUCUGGAAAAUUUUAAAUGUGGAAAGAAUGAUCUUCUGUUUAUUGGCAUUGAGUAGUGGAAUUUAUGGUUAGUAUGUCUUUGCAUUUUUAAAAUUUGACUAUGGAGUAAUUAAACACUUUGUAAACAGAUUUAAAUUACACAGAAUAAAAGAAAUCAAAUAAC